rnacentral:rRNA from 1 species
CCUACGGGAGGCUGCAGUGGGGAAUAUUGGACAAUGGGGGGAACCCUGAUCCAGCCAUGCCGCGUGUGUGAAGAAGGCCCUCGGGUUGUAAAGCACUUUCAGUGAGGAAGAACGCCUGGUGGUUAAUACCCAUCAGGAAAGACAUCACUCACAGAAGAAGCACCGGCUAACUCCGUGCCAGCAGCCGCGGUAAUACGGAGGGGGCGAGCGUUAAUCGGAAUUACUGGGCGUAAAGCGCGCGUAGGUGGCUUGAUAAGCCGGUUGUGAAAGCCCCGGGCUCAACCUGGGAACGGCAUCCGGAACUGUCAAGCUAGAGUGCAGGAGAGGAAGGUAGAAUUCCCGGUGUAGCGGUGAAAUGCGUAGAGAUCGGGAGGAAUACCAGUGGCGAAGGCGGCCUUCUGGACUGACACUGACACUGAGGUGCGAAAGCGUGGGUAGCAAACAGGAUUAGAUACCCUAGUAGUC